rnacentral:rRNA from 1 species
GACGAACGCUGGCGGCGUGCUUAACACAUGCAAGUCGAACGGAAAGGCCUGCAGCUUGCUGCGGGUACUCGAGUGGCGAACGGGUGAGUAACACGUGGGUGAUCUGCCUUGCACUUCGGGAUAAGCUUGGGAAACUGGGUCUAAUACCGGAUAGGACAGCUGUUUAGUGUCAGUUGUGGAAAGUUUUUUCGGUGCAAGAUGAGCUCGCGGCCUAUCAGCUUGUUGGUGGGGUAAUGGCCUACCAAGGCGUCGACGGGUAGCCGGCCUGAGAGGGUGUACGGCCACAUUGGGACUGAGAUACGGCCCAGACUCCUACGGGAGGCAGCAGUGGGGAAUAUUGCACAAUGGGCGGAAGCCUGAUGCAGCGACGCCGCGUGGGGGAUGAAGGCCUUCGGGUUGUAAACUCCUUUCGACAGGGACGAAGCUUUUGUGACGGUACCUGUAUAAGAAGCACCGGCUAACUACGUGCCAGCAGCCGCGGUAAUACGUAGGGUGCGAGCGUUGUCCGGAAUUACUGGGCGUAAAGAGCUCGUAGGUGGUUUGUCGCGUCGUCUGUGAAAUUCCGGGGCUUAACUCCGGGCGUGCAGGCGAUACGGGCUGACUUGAGUGCUGUAGGGGAGACUGGAAUUCCUGGGGUAGCGGUGGAAUGCGUAGAUAUUAGGAGGAAUACCGGUGGCGAAGGCGACUUUCUGGACUUGAACUGACGCUGAGGCACGAAAGCGUGGGGAGCAAACAGGAUUAGAUACCCUGGUAGUCCACGCCGUAAACGAUGAGUGCUAGGUGUCUGCUCAUAAGAGUAGGUGCCGUACGUUAACACAUUAAGCACUCCGCCUGGGGAGUACGUACGCAAGUAUGAAACUCAAAGGAAUUGACGGGGACCCGCACAAGCAGCGGAGCAUGUGGUUUAAUUCGAGGCUACGCGAAGAACCUUACCAGGACUUGACAUACCAAGGAAAGUUUUUAGAGAUAAAAACCCUAGAUUUAUCUACCUUGGAUACAGGUGGUGCAUGGUUGUCGUCAGCUCGUGUCGUGAGAUGUUGGGUUAAGUCCCGCAACGAGCGCAACCCUUACAUUUAGUUACUAACAGGUAGUGCUGAGGACUCUAGAUGGACUGCCGAUGACAAAUCGGAGGAAGGUGGGGAUGACGUCAAAUCAUCAUGCCCUUUAUGUCCUGGGCUACACACGUGCUACAAUGGUCGGUACAAAGAGAAGCUAAAUAGCGAUAUCAAGCAAACCUCAAAAAACCGAUCCCAGUUCGGAUUGAUCUCUGCAACUCGAGAUCAUGAAGCCGGAGUUGCUAGUAAUCGCAGAUCAGAAUGCUGCGGUGAAUGCGUUCCCGGGUCU